GACGUAGGAUGCAAGCGUUGUCCGGAUUUAUUGGGCGUAAAGAGUUCGUAGGUGGUUCAUUAAGUCUGGUGUAAAAGACUGGGGCUCAACCCUGGGAUCGCACUGGAUACUGGUGGACUGGAGUGCAGUAGAGGCAAGCGGAAUUCCCAGUGUAGCGGUGAAAUGCGUAGAUAUUGGGAAGAACACCGGUGGCGCAAGCGGCUUGCUGGGCUGUAACUGACACUGAGGAACGAAAGCCAGGGGAGCAAAUGGG
rnacentral:rRNA from 1 species